ensembl:lncRNA
UCAGUAUUUUCCUUUUUUUUAUUAGAAAUUGAUCACAUUGCAUACCAAGCAAAACAUAUGCCGUCCUUUCAAUGUGCCAUGCAUACAAAUUCAAAAAAAAAAAGUCGUGUCUUGGUUGACCAAUAUAUUAAAAUUGAUAUUUGUAAGGGUUGAUAUGAAAGACCUUUUUCCUGGAUUAUGUGCAAUUAACAAUAUUCACAUAUUUGUACAUUCAAAUCAGAGUCAGUCCGGAACAAAAAUCAUCCUCAUAAAAAAAACUAAAUGUUCAACUUAAAAUAGUAAAAAGGUUGAAAAAAAAAAAAAUGAAAAAACACAAAUGCUCUAAUCAAACAAAAUAGUUAUCUUUUUUUUUUUUAAAUAGAAUCAAAGACUUUCUCAACAAUAACAUGAGACUCAACUUAGGAUCUUGUCAUUGUUGUUCACUGUGUAUAGGCACAUGGUAGGUAUGUGAGGCAUUGCUGAGCUAACUUCUGAGAGACAGAUGAGGGAGAGGGAUAGACCGAGAGAGCUAGAGAGAGAGCGAGAGAGAGAGAGAAAGGUUGGGAGAGCUAGUGAGAGAGUGCAUGAGAGUGAGAGAUAAAAACGAGAGAGAGAUAAGGGGAGGGCGUGGUUGUCAUGGUGGAGUUCCCUUGGAGAAUGUCCUACUGCCAUCAUGUCCUGGCACUGACGCUAGUGUAAACAGAAAACAGAGAACCCAUGGUCUCCUAUGGACCAAUGGCGGAAGAGGGCUUUAGAUGGGCCCCGACCCAUCAGCAGAGGGUUAGGUUUAGCUUGGUUUCUCCUGCGUGUGUGGGAAGGGGGGGUGGGCUCUUUGGCAUCAAACUAUUUUUGUUAAAUGUAAAUAAGCAGUCUUCUGAUGAAUGCAUCUCAAUGAAAUGGAGUAAAAACUAAAAAGAAUUGGGAUUCCCUUUCGGUGACACAGUGUUUGAGAUUUUUAAGGGCCGGCCAAGUGAAAAUAAAUAAAUAAAAACAGGACAAUGGGAGACAUCUUCCUCGCCCCCAAAACCAAACAGUCUUUCAAAGUAUAAAUAACCAAACACCAAAAUCAAACUCCAGAGACUGUACCCUCACAGGCGAAACACAACUCGUGGAACGACGAUCUAAUCAGAAUCUAACAUGGCAAACAAUUGUGUAGUACUAGUGUUUGGUAGUGUCCUAGUCCUUAAGUUUGAGUGAUUAGGUACUCUACAUACACAUCAUGUUUUUAGAGAGGACACUGUGACGCGAGAGUGUUUCUUCAUACACACACAAACACACACACACACACACACACAAGGUGAUGACGCUUCACGGGAGAAGUGAGAUUCCAACAAACUGUCGCCCAGCCGUGGUCAAAUGUGCGUAUUUUCAGAUAUCUGCUGCAUGUGGCUCCAGAAUUUUCGUCAUUGACCAAAGAAAAGGAACGGCUAUUGUGUUCAUAGUGGUCAUAAAUAAAUAGUAAAGCUUCAUGAGACACAAUGGCAUUGUGUUUAAUCACAGGCCUAGUGGAGAAAAUGGAGUAUAUGUUGUAUAUGUAGGCGUGAUUAUAAAAAUAGAGGUCAUUGUCACCCACGAGUAGAGAGGGCGUGGAAUCCCACUAACAGCGCCCUACUGCGUGGACAGAGGAGCGAGCGUGUGAAUCGAUGUGGUCACGUGGGUGUUGUGUAGGCCAAUGCUUAUGCAACCAAAACACGUUUGGCUUUUAAAAUAUGGCUUUGUCUACCUUUUUUUUUUCUUCUCUCUCUCCAGCAAUUAGUGGAUCCUUCAUUAAUUCUUCCGCCGGUGUCGGUGGUGGUGGUGGGGUGCUCGUGUUUUACAUCCACUUGUUUUGAUAAACAGACAGAUUUUUUUUGUUUUUCAGUGAAUCAAUUCUGAUUACAUGGUGAUGUGGGUACUUGUACAAACUUUUUAAAAGUCUUUUCACUAGAUUGCCAUCCUCAAUUUCUAAUCAUAUUCCGGACCUUGCAACACAACAAAGAACUCGAAACAAGAAAAAGAUUGAAUUCUCCUCUGAGAACUUCCCUCGUCUUUGAACCGAGGUUCCCCAGCCGCCCUCAAAGAGUUAAUUUAAUUAAACCUCUUUGUGUUCCUCAAUAAACGGUCUAUAUUUAGUUAGCCAUUAUAGAUUUGAAGACACAACGACACAAUAGCCUUUAACUCAAUUACCCAGCAUGCAUUGCUUCACCAGUCCUGAUUGCUCUUCACAUCUCACACUUGAAUAGAACUGCAUGUGCGUUUUUUUCCUCUACCCUAUUAAGACCCCCACCCCCCCACUCCACCACCCAUCCUCAUGUAAAGGAAGUUCUUCAAGUCGUUCCAUCCACUUUUCUUUCAAACAAAACAAAACAAAACCCCAACGCGCUCCACUUCGCCUCUCCUACGCGGAGCUAGAAGAACCAAGGAGCUAAAUGGACUAAGUAAGCCAGCACGCCGUCUCCCCGCGGUGACUAAUGACACUGCUGCACCGUCCCG